rnacentral:rRNA from 1 species
AUGAAGACUUUUGUGACUGAGCGGCGGACGGGUGAGUAACGCGUGGGUAACCUGCCUCAUACAGGGGGAUAACAGUUAGAAAUGGCUGCUAAUACCGCAUAAGACCACAGUACUGCAUGGUACGGUGGUAAAAACUCCGGUGGUAUGAGAUGGACCCGCGUCUGAUUAGGUAGUUGGUGAGGUAACGGCCCACCAAGCCGACGAUCAGUAGCCGACCUGAGAGGGUGACCGGCCACAUUGGGACUGAGACACGGCCCAGACUCCUACGGGAGGCAGCAGUGGGGAAUAUUGCACAAUGGGCGAAAGCCUGAUGCAGCGACGCCGCGUGAAGGAUGAAGUAUUUCGGUAUGUAAACUUCUAUCAGCAGGGAAGAAAAUGACGGUACCUGACUAAGAAGCCCCGGCUAACUACGUGCCAGCAGCCGCGGUAAUACGUAGGGGGCAAGCGUUAUCCGGAUUUACUGGGUGUAAAGGGAGCGUAGACGGCUGUGCAAGUCUGAAGUGAAAGGCAUGGGCUCAACCUGUGGACUGCUUUGGAAACUGUGCAGCUAGAGUGUCGGAGAGGUAAGUGGAAUUCCUAGUGUAGCGGUGAAAUGCGUAGAUAUUAGGAGGAACACCA